rnacentral:rRNA from 1 species
AACGAACGCUGGCGGCAUGCCAACUUACAUGCAAGUCGAACGAGAACCAGGGGCUUGCUCCUGGAGAGAGUGGCGAACGGGUGAGUAACGCGUGGAUAACAUACCCUUUGGAUGGGGAUAACCCGCCGAAAGGCGAGCUAAUACCGAAUAAGCUCUUAGAGGGUUCGCCCAAAAAGAGGAAGGCGGCGCAAGUCGCACCGAAGGAUUGGUCCGCGUUCCAUCAGCUUGUUGGUAGGGUAAUGGCCUACCAAGGCAACGACGGAUAGCUGGUCUGAGAGGAUGAUCAGCCACACUGGGACUGAGAUACGGCCCAG